UACGUAGGGUGCGAGCGUUAAUCGGAAUUACUGGGCGUAAAGCGUGCGCAGGCGGUUUUUUAAGACUGAUGUGAAAUCCCCGGGCUCAACCUGGGAACUGCAUUUGUGACUGCAUAGCUAGAGUACGGUAGAGGGGGAUGGAAUUCCGCGUGUAGCAGUGAAAUGCGUAGAUAUGCGGAGGAACACCGAUGGCGAAGGCAAUCCCCUGGACCUGUACUGACGCUCAUGCACGAAAGCGUGGGGAGCAAACAGG
rnacentral:rRNA from 1 species